rnacentral:tRNA from 1 species
ACCGGUCUACGCCGCCCGGCGUCGGGCAGGGCGGCUGGCCGCCGCCGGGUGCGGGUCCCCGCCGCAUGCCGGGGCCA